ACAUAGAUAUUAUGCUGAAACAGUUCAGCAUGGAGAAUUUCAAGAAAGACUAUCUUUUGACAGGCCAAAAAUUUUUUUUCGAAAAGAGAUUGUCCGAUAACUCCUCAAGAGAGAGAAAGCGUAUGAGUAGAGUUUCAUAUACUUCGAUAGUGAGUUCUAUUAUAUAUGCCAUGACAUGUAUGAGAUCAGACAUGACAUAUUCAUUAGGGGUAGUGAGUAGAUACCAGUCUGAUCCA
rnacentral:lncRNA from 1 species